UACGAAGGGGGCUAGCGUUGUUCGGAAUUACUGGGCGUAAAGGGCGCGCAGGCGGCUCUUCAAGUCAGAUGUGAAAGCCCCGGGCUCAACCUGGGAACUGCAUUUGAGACUGGAGAGCUUGAGUUCGGGAGAGGAUGGUGGAAUUCCCAGUGUAGAGGUGAAAUUCGUAGAUAUUGGGAAGAACAUCAGUGGCGAAGGCGGCCUGCUGGGCUGUUGCUGACGCUGAGGCGCGACAGCGUGGGGAGCAAACAGG
rnacentral:rRNA from 1 species